CACGUAGGGCGCAAGCGUUGUCCGGAAUUAUUGGGCGUAAAGAGCGUGUAGGCGGCUUUACAGGUCCGUUGUGAAAACUCGAGGCUCAACCUCGAGACGCCGGUGGAAACCGUAAGGCUAGAGUCCGGAAGAGGAGAGUGGAAUUCCUGGUGUAGCGGUGAAAUGCGCAGAUAUCAGGAGGAACACCCGUGGCGAAAGCGGCUCUCUGGGACGGUACUGACGCUGAGACGCGAAAGCGUGGGGAGCAAACAGG
rnacentral:rRNA from 1 species